rnacentral:rRNA from 1 species
AGUAAUGUUUGGGAAUCUAGCUUAUGGAGGGGGAUAACUACGGGAAACUGUAGCUAAUACCGCGUAGAAUCGGGAGAUGAAAGUGUGGGACCUUCGGGCCACAUGCCAUAGGAUGAGCCCAAGUGGGAUUAGGUAGUUGGUGAGGUAAAGGCUCACCAAGCCGACGAUCUCUAGCUGGUCUGAGAGGAUGACCAGCCACACUGGGACUGAGACACGGCCCAG